rnacentral:rRNA from 1 species
UAGGGAAUCUUCGGCAAUGGACGAAAGUCUGACCGAGCAACGCCGCGUGAGUGAAGAAGGUUUUCGGAUCGUAAAACUCUGUUGGUAGAGAAGAACGUUGGUGAGAGUGGAAAGCUCAUCAAGUGACGGUAACUACCCAGAAAGGGACGGCUAACUACGUGCCAGCAGCCGCGGUAAUACGUAGGUCCCGAGCGUUGUCCGGAUUUAUUGGGCGUAAAGCGAGCGCAGGUGGUUUAUUAAGUCUGGUGUAAAAGGCAGUGGCUCAACCAUUGUAUGCAUUGGAAACUGGUAGACUUGAGUGCAGGAGAGGAGAGUGGAAUUCCAUGUGUAGCGGUGAAAUGCGUAGAUAUAUGGAGGAACACCGGUGGCGAAAGCGGCUCUCUGGCCUGUAACUGACACUGAGGCUCGAAAGCGUGGGGAGCAAACAGGAUUAGAUACCCUGGUAGUCCACGCCGUAAACGAUGAGUGCUAGAUGUAGGGAGCUAUAAGUUCUCUGUAUCGCAGCUAACGCAAUAAGCACUCCGCCUGGGGAGUACGACCGCAAGUUG